GGGUUGUGAGGUUAAGCGACUAAGCGUACACGGUGGAUGCCCUGGCAGUCAGAGGCGAUGAAGGACGUGCUAAUCUGCGAAAAGCGUCGGUAAGGUGAUAUGAACCGUUAUAGCCGGCGAUGUCCGAAUGGGGAAACCCAGUGCAAUUCGUUGCACUAUCGUUAACUGAAUACAUAGGUUAACGAGGCGAACCGGGGGAACUGAAACAUCUAAGUACCCCGAGGAAAAGAAAUCAACCGAGAUUCCCCCAGUAGCGGCGAGCGAACGGGGAGCAGCCCGGAGUCUGAAUCAGCUUGUGUGUUAGUGGAAGCGUCUGGAAAGUCGCAGGGUACAGGGUGAUACUCCCGUACACUAAAACACACAGGUUGUGAACUCGAAGAGUAGGGCGGGACACGUGGUAUCCUGUCUGAAUAUGGGGGGACCAUCCUCCAAGGCUAAAUACUCCUGACUGACCGAUAGUGAACCAGUACCGUGAGGGAAAGGCGAAAAGAACCCCGGCGAGGGGAGUGAAAAAGAACCUGAAACCGUGUACGUACAAGCAGUAGGAGCCCACUAGUUGGGUGACUGCGUACCUUUUGUAUAAUGGGUCAGCGACUUAUAUUCUGUAGCAAGGUUAACCGUAUAGGGGAGCCGCAGGGAAACCGAGUCUUAACUGGGCGUUAAGUUGCAGGGUAUAGACCCGAAACCCGGUGAUCUAGCCAUGGGCAGGUUGAAGGUUGGGUAACACUAACUGGAGGACCGAACCGACUAAUGUUGAAAAAUUAGCGGAUGACUUGUGGCUGGGGGUGAAAGGCCAAUCAAACCGGGAGAUAGCUGGUUCUCCCCGAAAGCUAUUUAGGUAGCGCCUCGUGAAUUCAUCUUCGGGGGUAGAGCACUGUUUCGGCUAGGGGGUCAUCCCGACUUACCAACCCGAUGCAAACUACGAAUACCGAAGAAUGUUAUCACGGGAGACACACGGCGGGUGCUAACGUCCGUCGUGAAGAGGGAAACAACCCAGACCGCCAGCUAAGGUCCCAAAGUCAUGGUUAAGUGGGAAACGAUGUGGGAAGGCCCAGACAGCCAGGAUGUUGGCUUAGAAGCAGCCAUCAUUUAAAGAAAGCGUAAUAGCUCACUGGUCGAGUCGGCCUGCGCGGAAGAUGUAACGGGGCUAAACCAUGCACCGAAGCUGCGGCAGCGACACUAUGUGUUGUUGGGUAGGGGAGCGUUCUGUAAGCCGUUGAAGGUGGCCUGUGAGGGUUGCUGGAGGUAUCAGAAGUGCGAAUGCUGACAUAAGUAACGAUAAUGCGGGUGAAAAACCCGCACGCCGGAAGACCAAGGGUUCCUGUCCAACGUUAAUCGGGGCAGGGUGAGUCGACCCCUAAGGCGAGGCCGAAAGGCGUAGUCGAUGGGAAACAGGUUAAUAUUCCUGUACUUGGUGUUACUGCGAAGGGGGACGGAGAAGGCUAUGUUGGCCGGGCGACGGUUGUCCCGGUUUAAGCAUGUAGGCGGAUGUUCCAGGUAAAUCCGGAACGUUAUUAACGCUGAGGUGUGAUGACGAGGCACUACGGUGCUGAAGUGACAAAUGCCCUGCUUCCAGGAAAAGCCUCUAAGCAUCAGGUAACAUCAAAUCGUACCCCAAACCGACACAGGUGGUCAGGUAGAGAAUACCAAGGCGCUUGAGAGAACUCGGGUGAAGGAACUAGGCAAAAUGGUGCCGUAACUUCGGGAGAAGGCACGCUGAUGGUAGGUGAAGUGACUUGCUCAUGGAGCUGAAAUCAGUCGAAGAUACCAGCUGGCUGCAACUGUUUAUUAAAAACACAGCACUGUGCAAACACGAAAGUGGACGUAUACGGUGUGACGCCUGCCCGGUGCCGGAAGGUUAAUUGAUGGGGUUAUCCUCGCGGAGAAGCUCUUGAUCGAAGCCCCGGUAAACGGCGGCCGUAACUAUAACGGUCCUAAGGUAGCGAAAUUCCUUGUCGGGUAAGUUCCGACCUGCACGAAUGGCGUAAUGAUGGCCAGGCUGUCUCCACCCGAGACUCAGUGAAAUUGAACUCGCUGUGAAGAUGCAGUGUACCCGCGGCAAGACGGAAAGACCCCGUGAACCUUUACUAUAGCUUGACACUGAACACUGGUCCUUGAUGUGUAGGAUAGGUGGGAGGCUUUGAAGUGUGGACGCCAGUCUGCAUGGAGCCGUCCUUGAAAUACCACCCUUUAAUGGCUGGUGUUCUAACGUUGGCCCCUAAUCGGGGUUGCGGACAGUGUCUGGUGGGUAGUUUGACUGGGGCGGUCUCCUCCUAAAGAGUAACGGAGGAGCACGAAGGUCAGCUAAUCCUGGUCGGACAUCAGGAGGUUAGUGCAAUGGCAUAAGCUGGCUUGACUGCGAGCGUGACGGCGCGAGCAGGUGCGAAAGCAGGUCAUAGUGAUCCGGUGGUUCUGAAUGGAAGGGCCAUCGCUCAACGGAUAAAAGGUACUCCGGGGAUAACAGGCUGAUACCGCCCAAGAGUUCAUAUCGACGGCGGUGUUUGGCACCUCGAUGUCGGCUCAUCACAUCCUGGGGCUGAAGUAGGUCCCAAGGGUAUGGCUGUUCGCCAUUUAAAGUGGUACGCGAGCUGGGUUUAGAACGUCGUGAGACAGUUCGGUCCCUAUCUGCCGUGGGCGCUGGAGAAUUGAGGGGGGCUGCUCCUAGUACGAGAGGACCGGAGUGGACGCAUCACUGGUGUUCGGGUUGUCAUGCCAAUGGCAUUGCCCGGUAGCUAAAUGCGGAAGAGAUAAGUGCUGAAAGCAUCUAAGCACGAAACUUGCCCCGAGAUGAGUUCUCCCUGACCCUUUAAGGGUCCUGAAGGAACGUUGAAGACGACGACGUUGAUAGGCCGGGUGUGUAAGCGCAGCGAUGCGUUGAGCUAACCGGUACUAAUGAACCGUGAGGCUUAACCUUACAACGCCGAAG
rnacentral:rRNA from 1 species